AUCAGACGGCAUAACCUUUGGGCUGCAUUACACAACCCAAAAGGCAUUACCGUAAAAUGGUAAAGUGGUCGUCCUGGCACCGUGAAUGCAGUCUUUUCUCUACUAGACGCAUCUAGUGGUAUCUGCCAGAACGCGUCUUUAAGAUCUACGCUUGAUAUAAAAUAUGUGUCCCCUAACCGGCUGAGAAGACCUUCGAUGUGCGGCAGAGGAUAGGCGUCCUUAAUCGUGAGGGCAUUCAGCUUACGAGCGUCCAAGCACAAACGGUUCUUCUCGCCCCUACGGACGAGAGUAACCGGAUGGCUCCAAGGACUCUCGCUCUGCUCAAUGACCCCAAGAUUAAGCAUCCUAUCAAGCUCUGCGUACAUCAACUUCUGCACAGCUGGUGAGACCGGAUAAUGCUUGUCCUUAACUGGAAUCGCAUCGCGAGUGUCGAUUGUAUGGGAUUCGAGGGAAGUCUGACCAAGUCCCUUCUUCGUAAAACAUGGAAAUUUCGCUACUAAAAUAUCUAAUGACGCCUUCUGACUCGGAACGUAUAAAUCUUAACAAAGAAAAGGUUAAAACUCAAAAUGGAAAAGAAGAUUCAAAACUUAAUCUUGUGAACGGCGAUGUUUUUUGGGUAAGUAAUGUUUGCAGGUAAAGUGUAUAGAAAUUGUUCGAAGAUAUGUACUAAUUGUUUUUCUAUUGGUUUCAGGAAGUGGAAAAAGUAAAUGGAUAAAUAAAAAAAAAGGUAGUAUUUGUUCUACCGCAGCUCAAAUUUCAAGGGGCAUCUAGAAGAUUGGUGUUGAAAACCCAGUACGCCUAGGACUACCCUAUCUAUUUUACCGCAGACAAAACCGUUACUGCUUUCCCGCUCUAUUCCCUGGCGGCCAACUAAUUUUGCGGAAGAAUCUCCCGGGUGAGGAUAGGGUAGAUGGAUAUUUCCUGUCAGUGACGUGUCUAAAUGUCUAAGUGGUUCGAGGAGAAUUACCUAUAUAAGAUUUAGGAAAAUCUUGGGUUAAUUAACCUCGCGACUCACUGUUCCCUAGGCCAGAGCUCUAACCUAACUCGCGCACGCGUGGUUAAGGUUCACACGCGGGAUGUACUUUGCGAUACUUAAGACUUCCUAUUUGUUUAUAUAAAUAUCUCACUAAUCACCUUUUUUUUUAUUUUAUAAAUAUUUCUUUUUUUUUUUCUUAUUUUCUUAAAGAAAAGGAACCGAAUUGAACGUCCGUCUAUAUGUCCCGGUGUAUUUUACUGUACUUCGUCGGAAUAUCACCAAAUAUACCCUAGCACCCCAGGCGUGGUGGUGCUAAUGCUGCUUCUCCCUCGUUGGAUGGAGUCUUGUUGCAGUGGCUUUGCAGGUUGGUUUGAUUAGUUUUUUUUUUAUUUUUUUAUUUUUAUAUUUUAAGAUUUAGUUUUAAGUUUAGCUUUAAGUUUAGCUUUAAGUUUAGCUUUAAGUUUAAAAAAAAAAAUCUUUUGUUUAAUAAAAUUUACUUAUUUUGUUUAAAAAAAAUCAAAAA